rnacentral:rRNA from 1 species
AUACGUAGGGGGCUAGCGUUAUCCGGAAUUACUGGGCGUAAAGGGUGCGUAGGUGGUUUCUUAAGUCAGAAGUGAAAGGCUACGGCUCAACCGUAGUAAGCUUUUGAAACUAAGAGACUUGAGUGCAGGAGAGGAGAGUAGAAUUCCUAGUGUAGCGGGGAAAUGCGUAGAUAUUAGGAGGAAUACCAGUUGCGAAGGCGGCUCUCUGGACUGUAACUGACACUGAGGCACGAAAGCGUGGGGAGCAAACAGGAUUAGAUACCCUGGUAGUCCACGCCGUAAACGAUGAGUACUAGCUGUCGGGGGUUACCCCCCUCGGUGGCGCAGCUAACGCAUUAAGUAUUCCACCUGGGGAGUACGCCGGCAACGGUGAAACUCAAAUGAAUUGGCGGGG